UAAGGAAUAUUGGUCAAUGGGCGGAAGCCUGAACCAGCCAUGCCGCGUGCAGGAUGACUGCCCUAUGGGUUGUAAACUGCUUUUGUCCAGGAAUAAACCCUAGAUACGUGUAUCUAGCUGAAUGUACUGGAAGAAUAAGGAUCGGCUAACUCCGUGCCAGCAGCCGCGGUAAUGCGGAGGAUCCGAGCGUUAUCCGGAUUUAUUGGGUUUAAAUGGGUGCGUAGGGCGGCCCUAUUAAGUCAGGGGUGAAAUACGGUGGCUCAACCAUCGCAGUGCCUUUGAUACUGAUGGGCUUGAAGUCCAUUUGAAGUGGGCGGAAUAAGACAAGUAGCGGUGAAAUGCAUAGAUAUGUCUUAGAACUCCGAUUGCGAAGGCAGCUCACUAAGCUGGUAUUGACGCUGAUGCACGAAAGGCGUGGGGAUCGAACAGGAUUAGAUACCCUGGUAGUCCACGCCCUAAACGAUGAUAACUCGAUGUUGGCGAUAGACAGCCAGCGUCCAAGCGAAGCGUUAAGUUAUCCACCUGGGGAGUACG
rnacentral:rRNA from 1 species